AGCAGAGUGGCGCAGAGGAAGCGUGCUGGGCCCAUAACCCAGAGGUCGGUUGAUCGAAACAACCCUCUGCUA
rnacentral:tRNA from 1 species